rnacentral:rRNA from 1 species
UUACCCUACGGGACGCAGCAGUGGGGAAUAUUGCACAAUGGGGGAAACCCUGAUGCAGCGACGCCGCGUGAGUGAGGAAGUAUUUCGGUAUGUAAAGCUCUAUCAGCAGGGAAGAAAAUGACGGUACCUGACUAAGAAGCCCCGGCUAACUACGUGCCAGCAGCCGCGGUAAUACGUAGGGGGCAAGCGUUAUCCGGAUUUACUGGGUGUAAAGGGUGCGUAGGUGGCAGGGCAAGUCAGAUGUGAAAGCCCGGGGCUCAACCCCGGUACUGCAUUUGAACCUGUCCAGCUGGAGGGCAG